ACUCAGGCAUUAUAAGACUCUGUGUCAGAACAAGUGUACCGGACUAAGUCACAAAUAUGAAUGGUUUACACCAAGGACUUAUGUGGGAAAAAUAAUUGUUACUUGUAUGUCAUGGUAGUAGGAUUCUAAGUGGUUUCUGUAUUUUAUAUGAAGUCUCAAAUAUGGAUAUACCGGUAGUUAACACCAAGAACUUUAAAAAUAUUUGUUACUUGUAUGUCAUGGUAGUAGAACUCUUAGUGGUCUCUGUAUAUAGUGCUGUUUUAAUACCAUUGUUGUCUUUCUUCUUCAUUGAAGUAAAACCUCAAAUUUUAUUCCAUCCUAGAGCUUUACAAUUUGAAUGUGAAUGACCCUGUUACAUGUAAACUUGACCGACAUUGAAUUGUUUAUUUUUGUUUUGUGAAAAUGAAUUAAUGUUAUUUAUAAUGCAUGUAUAAAAAAAAUUGAUAUUCUUGUAUAAUGAAAUAUUGAUGUCAGAAUUUGCUGCUUUGGGAUUUGUCAAUCAUAUCACAAUGGAACUAAGUGAAAAAAAGUUAUGAAUAAAGUCACUUGAAUUAUU
rnacentral:misc_RNA from 1 species